AUUGAACGCUCGCGGGAUGCUUUACACAUGCAAGUCGAACGGCAGCGUGGACUUCGGUCUGGCGGCGAGUGGCGAACGGGUGAGUAAUGUAUCGGAACGUGCCCAGUAGCGGGGGAUAACUACGCGAAAGCGUAGCUAAUACCGCAUACGCCCUACGGGGGAAAGCAGGGGAUCGUAAGACCUUGCACUAUUGGAGCGGCCGAUAUCGGAUUAGCUAGUUGGUGAGGUAACGGCUCACCAAGGCGACGAUCCGUAGCUGGUUUGAGAGGACGACCAGCCACACUGGGACUGAGACACGGCCCAGACUCCUACGGGAGGCAGCAGUGGGGAAUUUUGGACAAUGGGGGCAACCCUGAUCCAGCCAUCCCGCGUGUGCGAUGAAGGCCUUCGGGUUGUAAAGCACUUUUGGCAGGAAAGAAACGUCGCGGGCUAAUACCCCGUGGAACUGACGGUACCUGCAGAAUAAGCACCGGCUAACUACGUG
rnacentral:rRNA from 1 species